CAAAAUAAACCGCCAAAAUGUCUGCUAGGCGCGAAACUCAAUCCGACUCGCUAACGUUCGUGGAUUUGACGUAACGCAUGCGAAAUAUUUUAAAAACGACGCAUCGCCUUUUCUAGGGAGUCUAACGUAUUCCGCUUUAGAUCAGCAGACACAAUCACAGCCUACAUUCAUUUGAAGAAAUCGAGCGUCAGACGUCACAGCGGUCAAUGGAGAGUUUGUUCGUAGCUUCUUCUUUCAGUACGGAGUUAGUCACAUAAUUAAUUUCGGUUCAGGACACACAUUCAGAGCGUUCGAUGUAGUUUGCCAAAUACAGUCAACAAUAGCUGCUCUAUUUUUUGAGCCCAGAAGUAUUCCCUCAUUCGGAAAAGGGUUAAUUAGUUGUCGUUGCACUAACGGUUAGUCACCUAUACCGCAUGGCGUUGUCGGCAACAUACAAUCUGAAUUUGAUUGCCUCCAGCUUUCUCAGAAGACCUAAAGAACUUUUCCUCUAUUUCUUAGUUAGACCCGAUAGUAUCGAAUAGUAAUAUUAAAACGAUCUCGAGCCACCUUCCUUAGAUUAUUUGGUCAGACUGAUGAUAGCUCCGUCAUCAGAUUUUCAUUAAACUAUGGAGCGGUAACUUGGUUAUAGUGACGAUGAAACAUGAUUGACUACUUCAAAGCACUUUCUUCAAAAUGUAUAUAUAAAGCUAUUAAACUUUUGUGCGUUCCCCACAGUAGCGUCAUUACCGUUGUCGUCACCUUGUGCAUGUUUUCUUUACCAACUAAUGCUACCGAGCUGUGUUGGCUGUAACGCUGACGUGGGUGACGACUUCUGCGACCGCCUUCACCGUUUCGUCUAAGCUCAUUCCGGGUCAUCGGCGAUGAUCGCGCUGGCAAGAAACGCUUCACCUGAAGCUGCUUGACAACUCUUUUUCCGUGUGCCACAACAGAAGGCGAAGACAGGGAAUGCAACUAAGGAAAACUCAAGUCCCAGCCGGUGCAGCGGGGACUUUAUCAUGAUCAUCAUGACGAACUCCCAACUAUCUACCAAAUGCCGCAUCCACGUCGGCGUUGACCCUCGUUCUGCUGAGGGUGCGCUGCUUCGAGUGCUGUUACUUCCAUCACUGCUACCCCGGCUGUUAGCAAUAGAUCGAUUUUCCAGUAGCGAUCAUGAUACGCCUGGAAUGGGUGGUGGCAGAGCGACGUUGUGCUUCAACACGGAACGGCGCGUUUGACGGGAACUGCAUAGGUGGUUCCGUGCGAUAGUAAAUGGCGUUUGUUAGCUGCGGCGGCCCAUUUGAUAACCGUAUUGGCAGACUCAUAGCUCAACCGUUACGAAGACGUCCCAGCAGACAAGCGAACGACGACAUUAUCUAGUUCAUAUACUGUAUAUAUAUCUAAAAGCAAAAAUGAAGCUCCACUUUACUA